rnacentral:lncRNA from 1 species
CGAUCCCAUUUCAGGAAGUAUAUAACACGUCUAGGGAAGCUAGUUUGAGUUAUAGGGUAUUGGCCAAAGGAGUGGAGUACCACCAGUGGAGGUGUUUGUCAGAAAAAGCAGGAGCGGGAAGGACUCUUGCCUUGGAGUCAUGCUGUCCACAGUGGAUUCAGAGGCUGUGACUCACUAAGGAAAAGGAGUGCCCUGUGUCCUAGGAGAGGCUGCUUCUCUCCAAAUAAGAAUUCUUUGGCUGAGGAAGGAAAUGAGGCAAUCUAAGAUUAAUCAGCGGCCACCAGUCGGACAGAGCUAGAAGUCCAAGCCAUAGCCAGCUACUUCUGGUUAACAUUCACCCUUUACCCACAAGGCACCCAGGACACCAACAUGCUGAGUUCUAGUGAGAAAGGGAAUGAGCCCCUCCUUGGGGAGGUGGAGACAGGCGUGAUAUGGCUGGGCAGAGAGAGGAAUAAAAGGCAGGAGGACACAGGAACUGAGAGCCUUUUGCCUCUGAGGAUUCUUGGAGACAGGACUGCCAUUUCAGCUGGGUAGAGCUAGACUCCAACUCCUAAAGGUUCCCCAGCCUCUGGAAACAGCGCCCCCAUCUGGAGACCAAGUGAGCAUACACAUGAGCCUAUGAAGGACAUUUCAUGAUCAAAUCACCACAAAAAGUAGUAGGUGUCGGUUCCUCCUUAUCCCUUCCUGAAGAUGCAUCAAGUGGUACUGACGGCCCUUGGGCUGCCUUCCAGACAAGUUAGAACAGCCUGGAUCCGUGCACUCCUACUGUGUCAGCAUGAACAACAAUUAAAAUAAUAUUUCAACUUGCAGAUAAGCAAACGAGC